rnacentral:tRNA from 1 species
CGGGGUGUAGCGCAGUUGGUAGCGUACCACGUUCGGGACGUGGGGGCCGGAAGUUCGAGUCUUCUCACCCCGA